UAAUAUCUCCGUGCCGCGCCGCGUUGCCGACCGACCGAGACCGACCCCUCCUGUCCUGCCCACCCGGUCUGGAUGCAGCCCCAACCCACCACCACCAGCUCCACUUCCCUUUGAUUUCCGCCGCCCGCCGAAGCCGCCUCGGGCAAGGACCCGGCCGGCGACAAGGCCUCUUCCCCGGCGGCCUGCCCGCGGCCAGGCGGGCCCUUUCCUCCCUCCCCACCGCCCUGGCCGUGGCCAGUCUGCUCCUCCUCUCUUCGUCCGGGGCCCCGGGUCGUGGAAGCCUCUCGCCUCGCCUCCUCGCGUCUGGUUUGGAUUCACUCCUCCUCGAUUCGUCGCGCGUUUAGGCUCGUGAUUUGGUUUCUGCUCGUGCUCGAUUCGUCCGUUUGGAAUUGCGCCCGGUUUGAUUUUGCUCGUCCUCGCCGUCGUCCGUUUGGGGUCGCGUCCGGUUCGAUUUUGCUCCUCCUCGCCACCGUCGUCCGUGUAGGGUCGCGUCCGGUUCGAUUCUGCUCGUCCUCAUCGUCGUCCGUUUAGAGUCGUGUCUGGUUCGAUUUUGUUCGUCCUCGCUGUCGUCCGUUUGGGGUCGCGUCCGGUUCGAUUUUGCUCGUCCUCACCGCCGUCGUCCGUGUAGGGUCGCGUCCGAUUCGAUUUCGCUCGUCCUCGCCGUCGUCCGUGUAGAGUCGCGACUGAUUCGAUUUCGCUCAUCCUCGCCGUUGUCCCGACGCGCCCGCGUGUUCUUGGUCCGGUCUCGCCUCGUCGGCGGUCUCCUCCGUCUCGUUUGCGUAGUAGCAAUUCUGUCCGCGCGUGCUUCUGUUAUCCGAACUAGCAGUCCUGGGUUUCGUGUUCACGUCGGUUACAGGAAUGAACAGGUCUGGUUUCGAAAUUGGAUUACGGCCGGACACGGGGAGCAGUGUUUGUUUAUCGUGCUAGUUCAGACUGGUUCGUCCGUUCCGUCACCUACGUUGCUCUUGGUGAUUUUCAGAACUCAAAAUGUGUGCUCUCCUGUGAUACUCUGUCAAUUCUUGGCCCUCUGUCAGUUCUUGUUGGCCCUCUGUCAGUUCUUGAGUUCCAGGGUCUGUUAAUUCUUGAGUUCUCAUUGUACUGGCUAGGCGUGUGCGCUCUCAUCCUAGAUUCAGAGAUGGGGUGAUUCCUUUACGCUUGAUCUGAUGGUGUAUACUGUUUAUGUUCUUUCCAAUUUGUUUCUUUUUAUCAUGCUUAGCUAGUGUGUUCCGAGCAGAAAAGUUUUACAAGAGUGCAAACCAUGUGGCCUGCUGCUGCUACUGUUGGACAAGGUUCCUUCUUUUCUUCCCGAUGUUACUAUUUCCAUUGAAGUACUCAUACGAGUUCUAGGUGAGCUGCUGCUAAUUAGUUCCCCUUAGAUUACAUUCUAGAUUGCAUGGCAUAACUCCAAUAUUUUGUCAUUGCACACUUGGGCAUAUAAUUCUGCUGUGAGCAUAACUCUAGAAUUUAUUUAUCUGUGAAAGCAUGUUCAUCACAUGUUUUUUAUCAAUGCUGGUAACUUGUGUCAUGCCCCUUUCCUUUUGGACAACAAUUUCAACGAACCUAUAACGUGGACAUGUGCUGCUUGUUUUCUUGUGAUGAUGGUGAUCCAAUUGAGUAGCCCAACUCUUAUGCUCUGACAUUUGUUAAUCCCCAGUUAGUGUGCAUGAAAAAUUAUUGUUUGUCAUGUUAAAUUCUAUGGCAUCAACUCGGUAUUGUGAUUAAUGACGAUACUUGACUUCUUUUUCUUAAAUUUUUAGUGAUAUGUGUGUUUUGUUAUGUCUUAUGUGGAUAUCAUAUUCUUUCUUUGUAUUACUAUAGCCAGUCAAUGGAAAUGCUUUUCUUGCUUUGCCUAGACUUUGUGACAAUUAACUUAUAGUGCGAUCAUUGAUCAUUGAGCUUCUGACACCCUAUUCCGUAAAAUUCCGUUGUAAUGUUUGCUGGAUCAUCGAGUAGUUAAUAUUGAUUCUGAGUUUGUUGGAUCAUUAACUUCUGUGUGUGCUUUGGUUAUCUGAGAGACACUCACUAUCCUGUGUUUCAUAUUGGCGGAGCGAUGAACGAUUAUGUUUCGUGUUUGCCGGUCUGGUUUUGGAUUUGGAUUACGGAGACGGGGAGAGGUCAAAACAAGGUCAGUUUAUCGUGUUCGCUCAGAUCGGUUCCUCGGUUCUGUCGCUGCGUUGUUCGAUUUCCAGACCUCAAACGCAUGCGCCCUUGUGAUACUCUGGUUUGGCUCGCUGGUCGUUAUGGUUGUUCGUUACGGUUGUUCUUAUGUUCUUGAAUCACCCAUCUUAUAAGCAGAGAUGGGGUGACACAUAAUGGUUGUUUUGAUGGUUGCUUAUUUAGUGCUCUUUCCAAUUGGGUUCUUCUUGUCAUGCUUUGCUUAUGUUCCCAAUGUCUGUCUUUCCAUAUAUGGGGAUGCGUUAGGGUGCAAACCGUGUAGGCCAUGGUGUGUUUUUAACUAGCUAUGGUGUGUUCUAUACUAUCUGAUGUGGAAGGUGGAAAUAUUGAUAUCACUUCUGUGUUAGUAUACUUGAUAUGGUGUGUUUUAUUCAAGUAAUUAACCACAUCUCUUACAAAUUUUCCUUGAGAUACAUGUUUAUAUGGCAGGAGUGAUUGUCUUGACGAAUAAUCAUUUAUGCUAACAGACCAGUACUUGAUCAUAGGUAACAGACCAGUACUUGUUUAGUGCAGACAAUUGACUAUUCUUUUUUUCUGAACUUUUUUGUGAUAUGUCUAAUGCCUUUCUAAGUAUUUAAGGUACAGACAUGUGGAUCUGGACAUUUCACAUUUGCUCUUUAUUGUGUUGCUAAGGACACUGAACGGUUUGUCUAGGCCACCGCAUAGCCUGGCUAAUCAGGUUGUAGUGAUUAGGGAGAAGCUUGCAGAACCGUAUGAAUUUGAACAACAAUGGUCGAGAGCAGUACAAAUGCUUAGUGGCAUUGACUUGGACUCAGGAAUAAGGAUGCUUGAUGACAAACAAAUUAUCCAAGUGCGUCCAGAUUGCAUGACUAUUUGGAGGAUGAUGAUGCAGUGAAUGUUGAAGCUUUUAUCAACAAAGCCUCAUUUUUUGUCACAAACAGCAACCAGGAAGUUCUGAACUUGUAAUACAAGGUAUGCUAUGCGAGAAUUUUAGAUCUAAAGAAUAAAUUCUUGGAAGCUGCACUUCGAUACUAUGGUAUCUCUCAAAUUGAGCAACGCCAAAUUGGGGAUGAGUAAGGCUUACUCUAUUCAGUUGUAGAUUUGUUUCUCUCUUCUGCAAUUUACUCAUUUUUAAUGUUCUGUCUUGUAUGGUUCUUUGUUGCCUUGCCGGUCUAGUGAUGCCUAAUUUCUAUUUUACACCCUUCAAAUUACCCUACUUGAUACUCAUGUUUAAGUAUUGCAGUGGUUAUUAGCAAGUUGUGUUUGGAACUGAUAUGGCCUCCAUAUUUUAUUCUCAAAGAUCUUGAUGGAACAUAGUUUCUGUAUUUUCUCUGAUAGAUUGAUGAAAAUGCUCUUUAACAAGCUCUUAGUGCUGCUGUAACAUGCACAAUAUUGUAACUGAUGAGAGGCAACCACCGUUGCCAACUUGAAAUCAGUUUACUCAUUCAAGUUCUGGAAUUUCUUUAUAGAUUUCUGGGUUUACUUCGAUCUUGCAUGUAUUAGGUUUCCCUUUGUGCCCCUGUCUAUGUCGGUUUCUUGUGUGCAAGUGCUUCAUUAUGUGUGUGUGUGUGUCUGUGUGUGACUUGUUGGUGAAUAUGUGUGUGGCUUGACUCUGUGUGUGUGGCUUGAUGGUGUGUGUGUGGCUUGAUUGUGUGUGUGGCUUGACUCUCUCUGUGUGUGGCUUGACUAUGUGUGUGACUUGACUCUGUGUGUGUGGCUUGACUCUCUCUAUGUGUGGCUUGACUGUGUGUGUGACUGUGUGGUUUGAUUGUGAAUAUGUGUGUGGCUUGACUCUGUGUGUGAGUGUGUGUGGCUUGAUGGUGAAUAUGUGUCUGGCUUGACUGUGUGUGUGUGUGUGUGACUGUGAAAAUUGCAUUUGUUUGAUUGUGUGGCUUGUAUGCUUUGCUGAAUGUUUGGUUGUAUAACUUGUGUUCUAUAUUUCACGAUUGAUUGCUUUGUUGAUUGUUGAAUGUGAACAGACCUAGCACUAUUCUUUUUUCUGAACUUUUUUGUGAUUAUGUCUUAUGUGGAUAUCAUAUUCUUUUUUAUGUAUUACUAUUGUCCAGUCACUGGAAUAAUGCUUUUCUAAGUAUUUAAGGUACAUACAUUGGAUCUGGACAUUUCACAUUGGCUCUUUAUUGUGUUGCUAAGGACACUGAUGGGUUGAGUUUGCAUAAAACGCAGUAUGGAGCAAGAAUUUGGUCUCAUUGCAAGGUCACUACCUGGACAUAUAGCCAAGCAAUGUCAAGAGAGGUGGAAUAAUCAUAUGAAUCCAAACAUACAGAGAGAUGCUUGGACUAUGAGGAGGAACAUGCACUGUAUAAUGCCCAGGGAAUAAAUGGGCAAAAAUAGCAAAAUUUCUUCCUAGAAGGAAUGGGGUACUUCUAUUUGUGUAACUUCUAUUUGUUAUCAGUUCUUCUCACCUAUAGCUAAAGUCAAAGAUGACAAACCAGGUGAAUUUUUGGAGGUGCAAGAUACACAGAAUCGGCUAUCCAUCGGCUUGUAACUCAUGAUAGGCAACCACAGUUGCCAACUUGAAACAUAUAUAUUUUAGGAGCGAAGAUCUGAAUCACCCUCACCCCUCAGAGAAAUCGUUUAGUCAUUCAGGUUCUGGAAUUUAUUUAUAGCUUUCUGAGUUUACUUCGGGCUUGCAUGUAUUUGCUUUCUGUUUGUGCCCCUAUCUAUGUCUGUUUCUUGUUGUUUCUUAUGUGCAAGUGCUCCAUUAUGUGUCUGUCUGACUGUUUGUGGCUUGACUCUCUUGUGUGUGUGGCUUGACUGUCUGUGUGUGGGACUGUGUGUUUGACUGUGUGUGAAUAUUGCAUUUGACUGUGAUGUGUGACUGUGUGUGUGACUCUGUGUUUGACUGUGUGUGUGACUGUGUGAAUAUUGUGCAUUUGACUGUGAUGUGUGUGACUGAAUAUUGCAUUUUGGCAAUGACUGAGUGUGAUUGUGUGUGGCUUGACUCUCUCUCUGUGUGUGUGUGGCUUGUAUGCUUUGCUGAAUGAUUGGUUGG